GUCAGCUAAUCCUUUGAAGCGCACUAAGGUGUACAGAUUUCAUCGAUCAGUUGAAAAAUGAAAUUAAUUCGUCAUUCUUUACAGCAGAUGUCGAACAGAUAACUUCAUACAAUUCUUCAUAGUUAUGUGAAUACAAGAUAGUGUACUAUGCAUCCAUUGGUUUGAGUUUGUGCUCAUUGAAUAUAAUUCACAGAACAACUUUGAAGAUCGUCAGAUUAAUCAAAGCCAAAUAUUGGAACGAAAUAUCCCAUGAACGAUGAGAAAUAACAAAUAAUUUCCCAUGGAGUAGUAAGCUGAUAUUAUCAAAUAUAAAUAAUAAAUAUGAAUAAAGGAAAAUAAAAAACACAAAAGUCAAUGUUCAGGAAUCUAUAAUAGAUUUUCAAUAAAUA